CCCCUCUCAGGCUCGCACCUGGAGAGUUUCCAGUCCUCUAUUGGUCUCGGCUACGGGAGGGAGGUGUCAAGCAGAGGCCUACCCAUUCCAUUCUUAGCUUGGGCAGUGGCUAGUGAGUGGAAGGCAAUCUGCUACAAGU